GGGCCGGUAGCGCAGUCUGGCUAGCGCACUUGGCUUUUAACCAAGUGGUCGCGGGUUCAAAACAGAAAAGUUAUACUUGACUGUGAUCAUCCCGCUCGGCCCA
rnacentral:tRNA from 1 species